UUGGGGGGGGAAUUUGGAAAUUUUGGGGGGAUUUUUGGGAGGAAUUUGGGAAUUUUCGGGGGAUUUUUUGGGGGGGAAUUUGGGAAUUUUGGGAAAUUUUGGGGGGAUUUUGGGGAAUUUUUGUGGGAAUUUUUGGGGGGAAUUUGGGAAAUUUUGGGGGAUUUUGGAAGGAAAUUUGGGAAUUUUUUAGGGGGAUUUUUGGGGGGAAUUUGGGAAUUUUUGGGAGUUUUUGGGGGAUAAAAAGUGUGAAUUUUUGGGGCUGGAAAACAGGAAUUUUUGGGGGAUAGAAAAUGGGAAUUUUGGGGAUUUAAAACUGGGAAUUUUAGGAUGAAUUCCUGGGGAUUUUGGGGAUAAAUCUGGGGAUUUUGGGGCUGGAAUCCCAGGGAAUUUUGGGGUUAAAUCCGGGGAUUUUGGGGAUAAAUCCAUGGGGAUUUUUGGGAUGAAUCCCAAAGAAUUUUGGGGAUAAAUUCUGGGAUUUUGGGGCUGGAAUCCCUGGGGAUUUUGGGGAUAAAUUCCGAGGAUUUGGGGGAUAAAUCCCAGGGAAUUUUGGGGAUAAAUCCGAGGAUUUUGGGGAUAACUCUGGGGAUUUUGGGGCUGGAAUCCCAGGGGAUUUUUGGGAUGAAUCCCAUGGAUUUUGGGGGAUAAUUCCCGGGAUUUUGGGGAUAAUUCCCAGGAUUUUUGGGGAUAAUUCCGGGGAUUUUGGGGCAGGUGGAGCGGCGCUGUCCCCGCUGUGGGAACGAGGGCAUUUUGGGGAUAAUUCCCGGGAUUUUGGGGUUAAAUCCCGGGAUUUUGGGGCAGGUGGAGCGGCGCUGUCCCCGCUGCGGGAACGAGGGGAUGAGUUACCACACGCGUCAGAUGCGCUCGGCCGACGAGGGCCAGACGGUGUUCUACAGCUGCCCCCGCUGCGGGUUUCAGGAGAAGGAAGAUUCCUGAAAAAUUCCCGAUUUUUGGGCUCUUUCCGAGGAAUAAAAGCGACCCCCGCUGGAUCCGGGCUUGGUUUCGAUUUUUGGGACCCCAAAAACCCCCAAAAUCUCCCCAAAAUCCCCCCCAAAAUUCCCUAAAAAUCCCCCAAAAAAUCCCAAAAAUUUCCCCCAAAAUUCCCUAAAAAUCGCAAAAAAAAAUCCCAAAAAUUUCCCCCAAAAAUUCCCUAAAAAUCCCCAAAAUUCCCCCCAAAAAUUCCCUAAAAAUCCCCCCAAAAUUCCCCCCAAAAUUUCCCAAAAAUGCCCCCCAAAAAUCCCCAAAAAGUCUCAAAAAUUCCCCCCAAAAACCCCAAAAAAAUCCCCCCCAAAAUUCCCAAAAUUUCCCUGAAAUUCCUCCCAAAAAUUCCCUCAAAAUCCCCCAAAAAAUCCCCCCCAAAAAAACCCCAAAAACUCCCAAAAAAUCCCCCAAAA
rnacentral:lncRNA from 1 species